CCUACGGGAGGCAGCAGUAAGGAAUAUUGGUCAAUGGACGCAAGUCUGAACCAGCCAUGCCGCGUGAAGGAUUAAGGCCCUCUGGGUUGUAAACUUCUUUUAUAGGGGACGAAAAAAGGGCAUUCUUGCUCACUUGACGGUACCCUAGGAAUAAGCACCGGCUAACUCCGUGCCAGCAGCCGCGGUAAUACGGAGGGUGCAAGCGUUAUCCGGAUUUACUGGGUUUAAAGGGUGCGUAGGUGGGUUGGUAAGUCAGUGGUGAAAUCUUCGAGCUUAACUCGGAAACUGCCAUUGAUACUAUCAAUCUUGAAUCAUCUAGAGGUAAGCGGAAUAUGUCAUGUAGCGGUGAAAUGCUUAGAUAUGACAUAGAACACCAAUUGCGAAGGCAGCUUACUAUGGAUGUAUUGACACUGAGGCACGAAAGCGUGGGGAUCAAACAGGAUUAGAUACCCUGGUAGUCCACGCCCUAAACGAUGGAUACUCGACAUUUGUGAUAUACUAUAAGUGUCUGAGCGAAAGNAUAGUAUCCACCNGGAGUAACGACCGCGAGUUAGUAAGUUACAAUAGAGUUGNGGNGNGAGAGNGCGAGGACGACGACGAGGGAGGAGG
rnacentral:rRNA from 1 species